GACGAACGCUGGCGGCGUGCCUAAUACAUGCAAGUCGAGCGGACGAAUCGAAAGCUUGCUUUUGAUUCGUUAGCGGCGGACGGGUGAGUAACACGUGGGCAACCUGCCCUGUAGACGGGGAUAACACCGAGAAAUCGGUGCUAAUACCGGAUAACACGAAAUGUCGCAUGACGUUUCGUUGAAAGACGGCGCAAGCUGUCGCUACAGGAUGGGCCCGCGGCGCAUUAGCUAGUUGGUGAGGUAACGGCUCACCAAGGCGACGAUGCGUGGCCGACCUGAGAGGGUGAUCGGCCACACUGGGACUGAGACACGGCCCAGACUCCUACGGGAGGCAGCAGUAGGGAAUCUUCCGCAAUGGACGAAAGUCUGACGGAGCAACGCCGCGUGAGCGAAGAAGGCCUUCGGGUCGUAAAGCUCUGUUGUUAGGGAAGAACAAGUAACGCAGUAACUGGCGUUACCGUGACGGUACCUAACGAGAAAGCCACGGCUAACUACGUG
rnacentral:rRNA from 1 species